rnacentral:rRNA from 1 species
UACGUAGGGCGCAAGCGUUAUCCGGAAUUAUUGGGCGUAAAGGGCUCGUAGGCGGUUUGUCGCGUCGGGAGUGAAAACACGGGGCUUAACCCCGUGCCUGCUUCCGAUACGGGCAGACUAGAGGUAUGCAGGGGAGAACGGAAUUCCUGGUGUAGCGGUGAAAUGCGCAGAUAUCAGGAGGAACACCGGUGGCGAAGGCGGUUCUCUGGGCCAUUACUGACGCUGAGGAGCGAAAGCGUGGGGAGCGAACAGG